rnacentral:sRNA from 1 species
AUCAGCGUUGCCGCAGACGGAUUGGCCUC